CAAAAAUGCUAAAAAGUUUUGCUUUUUUAAAACUGUUUUUAACUCUCGAUAACCUUUGAAUGUCUUUAUUAAACAAAUCAUUAUCAACAAUUAGUAUACCACAUGAACAUUUAACUUUAAAAAAAAAAAACGUUGGUUAAUAAUAUAUGAAAUUCAUCCAUAUAGUACUUAAAUGGACCGGCGCUAUUACAAAAUGGUAAACUAAAAAAGUAUUCACUUACUGAUAGCAUAUAUCUUCAUUAGUUUUACACAAUAGUUACAAAUUAUCUGAGUUCAAUUCAUAUACCAGUAUCUUGAAUUUAGGCCUAUAUAAUUGACAAAGAAAAUGUCAAAUGGAAAAUCAGAUUAUUUGAUACGAACUAGUAUACAUACAUAUAGAUUCUGUUUGGGUUUGUAAAUCAUAUGAAGAAAAGGAUAUUUUUUUCAUUUGCGAAAAAUUCAUACCAAUAUAAAAUAACAAAACCGUUUAACUUGAUAAAAAAAAUGGCGUAUCUGCGGAAGAAAGAGUUUCUGAUUUGUCGUUCGACAAAGUCGACGGUUUCAAGGGGGUAAUUAUGUAUUUGCUGAUGUUUGGUCUGUGAUGGACUUGGAGGUUGUCUGAGGUUGUCCACUAGGUAAGUGUUCACUUCUCAUCUUUUAAGAGGAAACAAAACAAAAUCAGAAUCAUUUUUUUUAAAACAUGUGUAUUUGGAUAGACAUAGGAAAGAAGCUGCAUAUAUGAUAAUAUUGAAUGAUAUGCCUUAUAAAUCGACGAUUUAACUUAAUAAUUUGGUUUUAACUUUUUUUACUAUUAUGAUAAUAAUUUACUUGUCGAUUUUAAAUGGUUGUCUUUUUAAAGUUUAAAGUGAUAAUAAAUGCUAACCGUUGUUUUUGUCAAUGGAGUGCGUCAGAUAGAUAUAAACAUAUGAUGUGGGUAAGUAAAACUCUAUCUCUUAAAUAAUAAUAGAUGUCCUUGGAAAUGAUUGACCAUACUAUCAAAAAAAAAAUGUCGACUGUUAUUGUAAUGCAAACGUUUUGUUUUCUUUUUUUAACGUUUGCAGUUUGUAGCAGACAGUGUUGUGAUGAGAUGUGAUCUUGGACAUACUAUCAUUGUACUGUGAUAAAAAGACAACAAGGAAAUCUUGACAACGGACAUUUUAGUUAUCAGAGACAUUGUGUUUCUUUUUUUCUUUUUUUUUUUUCAUGAAAUGACUCUUUGAUUGUGAUUAAUGUCAAUUUAUUUAUUUGAAUACAUUUCCUUUGUUUAGACUUUUUCAUUCAAUAUUAAAAAACUAUAUGCUUGU
rnacentral:misc_RNA from 1 species